rnacentral:rRNA from 1 species
UAGGGAAUCUUCCACAAUGGACGCAAGUCUGAUGGAGCAACGCCGCGUGAGUGAAGAAGGUCUUCGGAUCGUAAAACUCUGUUGUUAGAGAAGAACACAAGUGAGAGUAACUGUUCAUUCGAUGACGGUAUCUAACCAGCAAGUCACGGCUAACUACGUGCCAG